AUGCAUGGGGUGGGGUUCUUUGUGUGCCACAGGCAUCCAUCAGCCUUCAAGGCUUGCCAGUUGGAUUCAUUUUUUUUUUCUCUCCUGGAAAGAGAACACGCUAAAAUAUUAGUAACAUUGGGCAUUCGGGAUCCAGGAAAACCAGGGUCUAAGCCCCCUCUGCAUUCAGUAGAAAUGAGGAUGACAGUGGCUAGCAGAUGUAUUGAAGGGAAUGUUAUACUGAUGGAGAUUCAGAGCUUUCAUCCCCUUUCCUUUCUCUCCCCCUCUCCUGUACUCAUUCGUGUGAAACUGCAAGAUUCUUCCAGUGGCCGGGUGAGGAAGUUGCCUCUCAGCAAGGACAAAAGGGAAAUGAGGGAAAUUUUACAAGAAAAUUUUCAUUUUAGUUAAAAAGCCAUUUUCCACCAAAACAUUUUUCAGUGAAAAAAUUUGAACUGACUAAAAUACCCUGACCUCAGUCCUGAGGAACAGCCUAAAGCUGGAAACGGGGGAAGAAAUGGAGUAAGACAAGAAAUGAGGGUGAAAAAAUCAGAAGAGGACAGAGAAUUGGAGAGGAAAAGAAGCCGAAAAAAGGAAGCAAAACUAGAAGAUAGUCAAGAAGAGGGAGAAUUAGGCCAGGACGGGAAGAGGGAAAGCAAUCCAUGCAACAUAAAGAGCAGAAUGAAAUAAAACACAAGGAAGAGAGCA
rnacentral:lncRNA from 1 species